UCAUUUACAUAGAAUUCUAAACUUGCUUAAAACUCUUUCUAUAUUAAUUGGAAUUAUGGGUUAUGCUUUUUCCUUUUUCCCUAUACCUUUUCAAAGCAAGGAAAGGUAAAACGAAUUACCUCCUCAAAUUCUCAACCCACUUUAUUGACCAGCAUGUUACCCCUUGCAAACCAUCAUUGGACUUGACUUUAACCUUAAUAGAAUAUUUUGUGUUACCAAUUUAUAUUCCUGACUACCUAAUAUGAAAUGCGCUCCUUCUUGGCUGCAAUUUGUGAAUUUACAUGUUCACAGAUGGACAGUGCAUCAAUCUUAGCGGAUGCAAUCGAACACUUAAAGGAGCUUCUAUAGAAAAUCAAUGACCUGCAUAAUGAACUGGAGUCCACACUACCUAUCUCUUCAUUGUCGAAAACAACAAUCUUCUAUCCUUUAACACCAACUGCACCAGCUCUGCCUGGCCGCAUCAAGGAAGAACUCUAUCCGAAUUCAUUUGCAAGCCCACUUCCUAGCCCGACCGACAACCUGAAAGAGUAAAAAGUUUUUAACCAAGGACAACAUUUCAUCCAGAAGAAACUUAUUAUAGUACAAACAUAUGUUUCUAAUUAGAUGUGUAUAUAUUACCUUUCUUAAAAAAAUUAGAUGUUUAUAUAUAUAAAUUGAUUGCAUUGAAAGCUAUUAUAGUGUUCUUCAUGCCCGUAAAGUCUAAAGUCAUCAUAUUAUUGGUUGAGAUUACGUAAUGCAGAUUUUGU
rnacentral:lncRNA from 1 species